CUUAGCCCUUAACAUAGACAAUAAAAACACAAUAUUGUCCGCCAGAGAACUACAAGUGAAAAACUAGAAACUCCAAGGACUUGGCGGUGCCCCACAUCACCCUAGAGGAGCCUGUCCUAUAAUCGAUAAUCCACGCUGUACCUCACCAUUUCUAGCAAUUCAGCCUAUAUACCGCCGUCGAAAGCCUACCUUAUGAAAGAAAGAGAGUAAGCAAAAUAGUCAACAACUAACACGUCAGGUCAAGGUGUAGCAAAUGAAAUGGAAGAGAUGGGGUACAUUUUCUAUAUCAGAAAACACGAACAGCACAAUGAAAUUUGCACUAAAAGGCGGAUUUAGCAGUAAGACAAAAAAGAAACUUUGCCUUAAACCCGCU
rnacentral:rRNA from 1 species